UGAGAGGGAGACAUAAAUAUUGAAUGUACCAAAUUUCACGGCAGUUUAUUCAAAAUUACGGCAAUCCAUAAUAAACAUCGCACUCUAAACUACAAAUGUCAACAUGACAAUGUCAUUUUUAGCGUGAUUUGACACAUCAAACUGAAUAAAAAUAUGUUUUUCAAGUAAAAAACUUAAUUUUUUUUACCAAAUCCCCACAGCAUUGUUGUGUUUCUGUGUUAAGUAGCAACUGAAGUUAUUAAAGUAAGAAAAUCACAUUACAUCAUCCCUCUUUGACAGUGUCAACAUGAUUUAUUUUAAAUAUAUUAAUAGGUUAAUAGGUAAUAGUUUUGGAAAAUGCUCAGCCGGCUGGGGCAUCUUGUCAGAGGUUUGUUUGAUUGACAUAAGCUGGUUAUGCCAGUUACCAGUGUUACAUCGUACAGACAGAAACAAAGUAAACAAACCUGUAGCUACAAGUCAUGGACAGACAGCGUGUUGCCAACAGGGAUUUUGAAGAGCAAUGAAAAAAAACAGCAUCUAACAGUUCCAAAUUGACAUUUUCAGGUAUAUUUACAUUUUAAUGUGCUGCAGCUGAGCAUCUAAUUAGCUAUCUCACUGCUAACUGACAUUAGCGGUGCACUUUUCCUUGUUGAAUGUUUGUUUGAUGCUUGUUCAACAAGCUAAGCUGCAGGACAAGACAUAUGUUCAUUUUUGUAAGUUACAUACGAAGGACACUUUAGCAGGAAAGCUAAUGUGGGUUGUUGUCCAGAGUCCUGUGUUGUGUAGCAGGAUGCAAUCAGGCUCAGUGUGACGUCAGCUCUGAUAUGAUGAUAGAAACCCUUUUGGUUGUAGAUUUUCUUCUCAAAAGAGAACACAGGACAAGUGAUUUACAGAGCAGAUAUGUAUACUGUAGUAGACAAAAAAAGAGUUGGAGUUUAAAAUCAACAGGAGCAUUGUGGGAAAUGUAGGACAACAUAGAAGUUGAUAUAGUUUGAGUGAAAAUUGAUACAAAGAAAAUUGGCAUAACAACAUGGUUCUUAAAGGACAACAGUGUCUUCCUAAAAUACUUGCUUGCUGUAUGUUAGAACAUGAAAAAUUGUCCAGAUAUGGAGUCUGAGUGUGUGAAAUGUUUUUAAAUGCACAGGAUGGAGCGAAGGGACAGACAGCUGCUGAGUGCCGGGAGCAGAGCUGGAGCUUCUGGACCAAUAGCAGAGUUUAUGUUUUCAACUUUGAGCAGCAGCAACAGUGAGCGCUCAGUCUGUUUCCGUGGCUACUAGCUAGGCAGGCUGGGGGGGGCGGGUUAUAUCGGUUUAUAUGUAGCAAACAUCAUCAUGCAGAAACCUACAUCAGGUCACAUGGGGAAAAAGAUUUUAGAAGGGCUUGGGAAAAUCAAAAAACAAACAAACAGACAAACCAAAAAAAAAAAUAAUAAUGAAAAUAACUACUGGACAGAACAAACAUCACAGACGGAUAUAUAACGGUGUCAGAAUAUCUGCUGCAACCUGAAAAUUGCCACAUUUAUGUGUUAAUAAACAGCUCAUAUUAAGCCCAGAGGACAUGAACCCACUCAAGAAAGAAAUGAUUUCCAUUAGCACAUAAAGCUGCUGGAGAUGGAACUGCUUCACCACAUGAAAUUGUUGUCAUAUUGCAGGCUCAUCGGCACGACUACUUUAAUAAAAACACCUUUUUUUGUGGAUAUGUAAAUUCUCUGUAGCACGGCCGACUCUGUCGAGGUGAGCUUAACUCGAGGAUUUUAAACGCCUUCUGUGAGAUAAAGGAAUUUUUAGCUGAGGGAUCUGAGUGAAGGGUUGGCAACUGUCUUCACUGGACGGCAUUCAAGUUGUGUUUAAUCUGCCCGUGUGAACUCCACCGCCGUGGCCAUCUGCUCACUGACACAAAAGCAGUGCAUCAAUACAAUUCUGUGAAUUUUCUGUGACAUUUCUCACAUCAAUACCAGUUAUUUCAGGCUGAUACGGUAUUUUGACUAUGACUGACAACAGUGCUAGCUUGUAAAAGCUCAGUUUGAUGAUCAGUACUUCAAGUGAUAACAGGAACAUAAUAUUUUUUAUAUGUCAUCAAGUCAACAGGACUAAACCUACUGAGAGUAACAAGAGUUUGCUGAGGGAGGAAAGCAACAUUAAGGAGUAACUUAACCCCUGAAAAUAUUGUUUUUUGUUGACUUCCAGGUUCAGUGCCUCACCUUGCUGCAGUGAUGUACAGGAGCACUUCCAGGACACGAUUCCUCCUCUCUGUCUGCUUACUGGAGACCAUCAAUCUGAAGCUUCUCCCCGUUGUCCUUCUUUCAUCAUUCUAGUUUUUUUUUUGUGUCUUCCAAUGAGAGCUUUCAGGCCUGACCUUUGUGCCCUUGGAAAGGACCGCUGCGGGUAACAAAGACCGCCAACCAAUCAGGCAUCGGUCUGAGUGGCCUUGGUGAUUGAAAUUAACACGAGGCUCUUACACAAGAAAGAAAUAUUUGAGGCAGCAAAGAAGCCAAAAGGAGGAAGAGACAAAGCAACUAAAUGAAAGGUUUGAGGUGUCAGUAUGAUUCAAAUAAUGUGUUUGUGUUUGGAUUAUUGAUUA